CUUAAAUCAAUUGUGGCACGAUUAGUCACCCUAUAAUUACGUCAAUGAUCCAAUCAUAUACUCAUAAGGUAUUACAAUAGUAGAAAUCUGAUCAUAUUUGAACCGAAAAGUUAACAGAACAAGAUUUUGAUGAUGAUUAAAUUUGCCACUCUGCUAUUAGUCAUCUCACCAAUGGUACUUAGUAGGCCAAAUUUUCGGGAUUUAAUACCAAAUGGUUAUCACGUACCUAACCCAUGUAGGAUUCCUGCAACCUGGAACCCAGUUGGGCAUUAUAAUCCAGAACAUUAUACAAACCUGAAAAAUCCAUUUGGUGUUGAUUUCAGAGCAAAUGGUUUUAAAUGGAAUGCUACAAUAUGUAAAAAAGAUUCUGACGGAGAUGGGAUGACGAAUGGAGAGGAACUCGGAGAUUCCAACUGUUCAUGGCAUACAGGACAAAAAACAUUCAAUCCGAUUGGACAUCCAGG